UACAGAGGGGGCAAGCGUUGCUCGGAAUUACUGGGCGUAAAGGGCGCGUAGGCGGCCUGCUAAGUCGAACGUGAAAUCCCCGGGCUUAACCCGGGAACUGCGUCCGAUACUGGUUGGCUUGAAUUCGGGAGAGGGAUGCGGAAUUCCAGGUGUAGCGGUGAAAUGCGUAGAUAUCAGGAAGAACACCCGUGGCGAAGGCGACUACCUGGCCUGUUCUUGACGCUGAGGCGCGAAAGCUAGGGGAGCAAACGGG
rnacentral:rRNA from 1 species